rnacentral:rRNA from 1 species
AGCAGCCGCCGCGGGAAUACGUAGGUGGCAAGCAUUGUCCGGAAUUAUUGGGCGUAAAGGGCUCGCAGGCGGUUUCUUAAGUCUGAUGUGAAAGCCCCCGGCUCAACCGGGGAGGGUCAUUGGAAACUGGGAAACUUGAGUGCAGAAGAGGAGAGUGGAAUUCCACGUGUAGCGGUGAAAUGCGUAGAGAUGUGGAGGAACACCAGUGGCGAAGGCGACUCUCUGGUCUGUAACUGACGCUGAGGAGCGAAAGCGUGGGGAGCGAACAGGAUUAGAUACCCGGUAGUCCCUGUCUCUUAUACC